AACUUCAGAGAAAAAUGCUAGAAGUGGGAAUAUACUGAUAGCAAAUAUUUAGCAUGACCAGCUUCUAGAGCAGUGGAUUUGAAAUGUCUCUGUGGUCAUGGUCUGGCAGUAAUAGAAACCAUGUGCUGUGGGUCAGGAGGAAAGCUGUCCUGAAACAGAAGAACCCAUUUCUUGGCCUGAUGACCUUGGGAAAGGUUUCAGAAUGAAGAAUGGAACAUGGCUUAAAGAGUGCAAGGCUCCUGUGACAACAUUGCGUUUUGAAAUAAGCCAGCGUGAUUUGUCUCCAUCAGAUGUUCCGUAAUGAUAUUUCACUUCUUUUACUGCAUGAAAUAAAAUUUUGUGAUAUUA